UGCCGGGUUGUGUAAUGGUAGCACGACGGACUUUGGAUCCGUUUGUCCAGGUUCGAGUCCUGGCCCGGCAGCCA
rnacentral:tRNA from 1 species